ACGAACGCUGGCGGCGUGCCUAAUACAUGCAAGUUGAGCGCUGAAGGUUGGUACUUGUACCCACUGGAUGAGCAGCGAACGGGUGAGUAACGCGUGGGGAAUCUGCCUUUGAGCGGGGGACAACAUUUGGAAACGAAUGCUAAUACCGCAUAAAAACUUUAAACACAAGUUUUAAGUUUGAAAGAUGCAAUUGCAUCACUCAAAGAUGAUCCCGCGUUGUAUUAGCUAGUUGGUGAGGUAAAGGCUCACCAAGGCGAUGAUACAUAGCCGACCUGAGAGGGUGAUCGGCAACAUUGGGACUGAGACACGGCCCAAACUCCUACGGGAGGCAGCAGUAGGGAAUCUUCGGCAAUGGACGAAAGUCUGACCGAGCAACGCCGCGUGAGUGAAGAAGGUUUUCGGAUCGUAAAACUCUGUUGGUAGAGAAGAACGUUGGUGAGAGCGGAAAGCUCAUCAAGUGACGGUAACUACCCAGAAAGGGACGGCUAACUACGUG
rnacentral:rRNA from 1 species